UGCCCAGCAACUCCUAUCCUACCUCCUCGUGGUACUGGCCGGGGUACGAGUAACCUUGGGGAAGGUCGGAUAACCAAACCCCGGUGGGAACUUUGGUCGUAUGCUGACAGGGAAGG
rfam:Aedes aegypti strain Liverpool supercont1.803 genomic scaffold, whole genome shotgun sequence.